rnacentral:rRNA from 1 species
GACGAACGCUGGCGGCGUGCUUAACACAUGCAAGUCGAACGGAAAGGCCCUGCUUUUGUGGGGUGCUCGAGUGGCGAACGGGUGAGUAACACGUGAGUAACCUGCCCUUGACUUUGGGAUAACUUCAGGAAACUGGGGCUAAUACCAGAUAGGAGCUCCUGCUGCAUGGUGGGGGUUGGAAGUUUCGGCGGUUGGGGAUGGACUCGCGGCUUAUCAGCUUGUUGGUGGGGUAGUGGCUUACCAAGGCUUUGACGGGUAGCCGGCCUGAGAGGGUGACCGGCCACAUUGGGACUGAGAUACGGCCCAGACUCCUACGGGAGGCAGCAGUGGGGAAUAUUGCACAAUGGGCGGAAGCCUGAUGCAGCAACGCCGCGUGCGGGAUGACGGCCUUCGGGUUGUAAACCGCUUUCGCCUGUGACGAAGCGUGAGUGACGGUAAUGGGUAAAGAAGCACCGGCUAACUACGUG